rnacentral:rRNA from 1 species
AGUGAACGCUGGCGGCAGGCCUAAUACAUGCAAGUCGAACGGCAGCACAGCAGAGCUUGCUCUGUGGGUGGCGAGUGGCGGACGGGUGAGGAAUACAUGGGAAUCUGCCCAGUCGUGGGGGAUAACGUAGGGAAACUUACGCUAAUACCGCAUGCGCCCUUCGGGGGAAAGCCGGGGACCUUCGGGCCUGGCGCGAUUGGAUGAGCCCAUGUCGGAUUAGCUAGUUGGCGGGGUAAUGGCCCACCAAGGCGACGAUCCGUAGCUGGUCUGAGAGGAUGAUCAGCCACACUGGAACUGAGACACGGUCCAGACUCCUACGGGAGGCAGCAGUAGGGAAUAUUGGACAAUGGGCGCAAGCCUGAUCCAGCCAUGCCGCGUGAGUGAAGAAGGCCCUCGGGUUGUAAAGCUCUUUUGUCCGGAAAGAAAGCGACCGGGUUAAUACCCUGGUGUCCUGACGGUACCGGAAGAAUAAGCACCGGCUAACUUCGUGCC